CAAAACGACUCUCGGCAACGGAUAUCUCGGCUCUCGCAUCGAUGAAGAACGUAGCGAAAUGCGAUACGUGGUGUGAAUUGCAGAAUCCCGUGAACCAUCGAGUUUUUGAACGCAAGUUGCGCCCGAAGCCUUCUGGUUGAGGGCACGUCUGCCUGGG
rnacentral:rRNA from 3 species